rnacentral:rRNA from 1 species
UACGAAGGGGGCUAGCGUUGUUCGGAAUUACUGGGCGUAAAGGGCGCGUAGGCGGUCUGAUAAGUUAGGUGUGAAAUUCCCGGGCUUAACCUGGGCGCUGCACUUAAUACUGUUGGGCUUGAAUUCGGGAGAGGAUAGUGGAAUUCCCAGUGUAGAGGUGAAAUUCGUAGAUAUUGGGAAGAACACCAGUGGCGAAGGCGACUAUCUGGACCGACAUUGACGCUGAGGCGCGAAAGCUAGGGGAGCAAACGGG